rnacentral:rRNA from 1 species
UAGGGAAUCUUCGGCAAUGGACGAAAGUCUUACCGAGCAACGCCGCGUGAGUGAAGAAGGUUUUCGGAUCGUAAAACUCUGUUGUUAGAGAAGAACAAGGACGUUAGUAACUGAACGUCCCCUGACGGUAUCUAACCAGAAAGCCACGGCUAACUACGUGCCAGCAGCCGCGGUAAUACGUAGGUGGCAAGCGUUGUCCGGAUUUAUUGGGCGUAAAGCGAGCGCAGGCGGUUUCUUAAGUCUGAUGUGAAAGCCCCCGGCUCAACCGGGGAGGGUAAUUGGAAACUGGGAGAAUUGAGUGCAGAAGAGGAGAGUGGAAUUCAAUGUGUAGCGGUGAAAUGCGUAGAUAUAUGGAGGAACACCAGUGGCGAAGGCGGCUCUCUGGUCUGUAACUGACGCUGAGGCUCGAAAGCGUGGGGAGCAAACAGG